UACGUAGGGUGCAAGCGUUGUCCGGAAUUAUUGGGCGUAAAGAGCUCGUAGGUGGUUUGUCGCGUUGUUCGUGAAACUCACAACUCAAUUGUGGGCGUGCGGGCGAUACGGGCAGACUGGAGUACUGCAGGGGAGACUGGAAUUCCUGGUGUAGCGGUGAAAUGCGCAGAUAUCAGGAGGAACACCGGUGGCGAAGGCGGGUCUCUGGGCAGUAACUGACGCUGAGGAGCGAAAGCGUGGGGAGCGAACAGG
rnacentral:rRNA from 1 species